rnacentral:rRNA from 1 species
CCUACGUGAGGCUGCAGUGGGGAAUAUUGCACAAUGGGGGAAACCCUGAUGCAGCAACGCCGCGUGAAGGCAGACGGUUUUCGGAUUGUAAACUUCUGUUCUUAGUGAAGAAGAAUGACGGUAGCUAAGGAGCCAGCCACUGCUAACUACGUGCCAGCAGCCGCGGUAAUACGUAGGUGGCAAGCGUUGUCCGGAAUUACUGGGGUUAAAGGGAGCGUAAGCGGGAAGGCAAGUCAGCUGUGAAAACGACGGGCUUAACUUGUAGACUGCAGUUGAAACUGGUUUUCUUGAGGGAAGUAGAGGUUGGCGGAAUGCCGAGUGUAGCGGUGAAAUGCGUAGAUAUUCGGAGGAACACCGGUGGCGAAGGCGGCCAACUGGGCUUUAACUGACGCUGAGGCUCGAAAGUGUGGGGAGCAAACAGGAUUAGAUACCCUGGUAGUC